GACAGAGGUGCCGAGCGUUAGGCGGAAUCACUGGGCUUAAAGCGUGUGUAGGCGGGGCCGUAAGUACCUUGUGAAAUCCCAUGGCUCAACCAUGGAACUGCUUGGUAUACUGCGGAUCUUGAGCCACCUAGGGGCAAGUGGAACAAACGGUGGAGCGGUGAAAUGCGUAGAUAUCGUUUGGAACGCCAAUGGUGAAAACGAGGUCCUGGACGCCUACUGACGCUGAGACGCGAAAGCCAGGGGAGCGAACGGG
rnacentral:rRNA from 1 species